rnacentral:rRNA from 1 species
UGGGGAAUCUUGCACAAUGGGGGCAACCCUGAUGCAGCGACGCCGCGUGAGCGAUGAAGCCCUUCGGGGCGUAAAGCUCUUUCGACCGGAACGAUAAUGACGGUACCGGGAGAAGAAGCUGCGGCUAACUACGUGCCAGCAGCCACGGUAAUACGUAGGACCCAAGCGUUGUCCGGAUUUACUGGGUGUAAAGGGUGCGCAGGCGGAUGGGUAAGUCAGGGGUGAAAGUCUGCAGCUUAACUGUAGAAUUGCCUUUGAUACUGCUCAUCUUGAAUGUGGGAGAGGUUGAUGGAAUUCCAGGUGUAGCAGUGAAAUGCGUAGAUAUCUGGAAGAACACCAGUGGCGAAGGCGGUCAACUGGCCCAUAACUGACGCUCAUGCACGAAAGCGUGGGGAGCAAACA